GUUGUGGUCGCCAUCUGUCUGACAGUAGCGCUCUCAGCUUCCGGAGCAGAGACUGCUGGACCCAUUGCAACGUAUGUCGACCUCAGCCCCAACUUUGGAGGGAUCCUAAUGGGCAUCGCAAAUACAAUCUGCGUGACACCCGGUGUCAUAUCAGCUGCUAUGGUGGGAUACCUAACGUACAAAAACCAAACAACCGAACAAUGGAAGAAGGUUUUCCUGAUAGCGUCGGGGGCGCUUUUAGCAACAGGUGUGCUGCAUCUCCUGACGUCCUCCGCAGAAAUACAGGAGUGGAAUUCGCCCCCUGUCGUGGACAGACAGC